rnacentral:rRNA from 1 species
UUCCUACGGGGGGCAGCAGUGGGGAAUAUUGCACAAUGGGGGAAACCCUGAUGCAGCGACGCCGCGUGAAGGAAGAAGUAUUUCGGUAUGUAAACUUCUAUCAGCAGGGAAGAAAAUGACGGUACCUGACUAAGAAGCCCCGGCUAACUACGUGCCAGCAGCCGCGGUAAUACGUAGGGGGCAAGCGUUAUCCGGAUUUACUGGGUGUAAAGGGAGCGUAGGCGGCACGGCAAGCCUGAUGUGAAAGCCCGCGGCCCAACCGCGGGACUGCAUU